UACAGAGGUCUCAAGCGUUGUUCGGAUUCAUUGGGCGUAAAGGGUGCGUAGGUGGCGCUGUAAGUCGGGUGUGAAAUUUCGGAGCUUAACUCCGAAACUGCAUUCGAUACUGCGGUGCUUGAGGACUGGAGAGGAGACUGGAAUUCAUGGUGUAGCAGUGAAAUGCGUAGAGAUCAUAGGAAGACCAGUGGCGAAGGCGG
rnacentral:rRNA from 1 species